rnacentral:rRNA from 1 species
GACGAACGCUGGCGGCGUGCUUAACACAUGCAAGUCGAACGGAAAGGCCCUGCUUUUGUGGGGUGCUCGAGUGGCGAACGGGUGAGUAACACGUGAGUAACCUGCCCUUGACUUUGGGAUAGCUUCAGGAAACUGGGGCUAAUACCGGAUAGGAGCUCCUGCUGCAUGGUGGGGGUUGGAAAGUUUCGGCGGUUGGGGAUGGACUCGCGGCUUAUCAGCUUGUUGGUGGGGUAGUGGCUUACCAAGGCUUUGACGGGUAGCCGGCCUGAGAGGGUGACCGGCCACAUUGGGACUGAGAUACGGCGCAGACUCCUACGGGAGGCAGCAGUGGGGAAUAUUGCACAAUGGGCGGAAGCCUGAUGCAGCAACGCCGCGUGCGGGAUGACGGCCUUCGGGUUGUAAACCGCUUUCGCCUGUGACGAAGCGUGAGUGACGGUAAUGGGUAAAGAAGCACCGGCUAACUACGUG